CUCCUCUUAUUUAUGUUCAUUCUGCCGUAACUUUGAAGUUUCACAUUACCUUGACAAGCUAUCAAAUCUACCCUACAUAUAUUUGUUAGGUAACUACGUCCAUACUAUUUCAGUGGGGGAUCCUUACAACCAACAUUAAAUCAUAGAAACAUCAAACAUGUAUUUUAGAGACUUCUAUGUUAAUUGUUAGUCACUACUUACUAGUUAUUGAUCUAGUACUACUUAGAUGGGACCUUGCUAGUUGUGUGAAUUGAGUUGUGACCAGAUGUUUGGUGAGGUGGAAUAAUUUGUUUUCUAACAAAAACCCAAAAAUGUGGGGAAUGGUUUUUUCUAAUAUAUGAAAAAUAUAUACUCCAUCCAAUCUAAGCACUUCUAUCACCUUUUUCUUUGCCUCCCCCUCUACUACCUUUUACAACUCACCCUCAAAUGCACAAACUCCACUUUUUUUCCCCUAAUUUUGCUAUAAAAUGGGUCACCAAACACCGUAAAACAACAAAAUUAGUGCAUCAAUUUUCAAUUUCCUUCUUUCUCUACCUUUGAAAUUCUCUACCUUUUCUUUUCUCUCCCACACACUCUCUAGAUUUUAUUAAAGAAGCCUAUGGAAGAUAAAGAAUGGUCAAGGUGUUGAGCAAGAUGGAGAAGCAGGGCACGUGCAUUACUAACUCAUGCAAUUUGAUACAUAUAUGCAAGCAUAUAUGUUUUUAUGUCGAUAUGAACGCACAUAUAUAUAUAUGUACACGGAUUCAGACUCCGAUGUUAAAUCAUAAAGAGCGGAAAUUUCUCUUUAGAUAAAUGAUCUAUCGACUAUUUUUAGUUGCUUUGAGUUAGUACUUUCAUGUGCCUGUCUUCCCCAUCAUGCCCACCUUGACCUAGUAAACUAAUCAUGUUUCCUUGAUUAAUUAUCCUUUCUCAAAUUGGAGAAAAAUGCAAGAGUAAUUACUCAUCUUCUCAAGCUUCAUUUAUUCUUCUUUCAGAAAACGCUGAUUUUGAUGUGUGAAUCAUGAAGUAUGAUUUAGUGGCAAUGCUCAAACACAACUCUUAAACUCCAAGAGCUUAUCUACGAUAGGGCUUACUUGUUGAAAAGACAUCUUCAAUAUACUUGUCUCAACAAUUUGAUUUUGCAACAUGCAUACAACAUAGAUAUAUAUAUAUGACAAAGAAGUAGCUCUCAAAAUGGACUAAGUUAGCCCUUUUUUUCCAUGACUUUAGCUAGCUUCAAAAACGCAAUUACACAUAUUUCACAUCUACUUAGCACAAGAAGUUUACGCAUACGUGUUAGAGUUGGCAGACGAGUCGUUCAAAUCGAAUGAGAUUCAAGUUAAUUUAGCUCUGAUCAUAUUCAAGUAAUUAAUUAAUCAUUAUAGCUCUAGAAUAUAUAUUAGGUCAAAUAUAUUCAAGCAUGUCGACAAUUAUUAUUUUAUCAUUAACAAACAAUAUAAUUAAUAUUUUUUCCCUUUUUUGAUAAAAAAAUAAUUAACAUUGUUAUAUUAAUUUACUUGCCAAUUUAAUUUAGAAUAUGGAUCAUUUUCUAUUCAGAUCAAAAUCAAUUAGUCUUUAAUUUGGAUAUUGUUCAACCCUUUAGUCGAGUAAUAGGAGUCUAAUAAUCGGUACUAGUCGACUGUGUAACUUUUUAACCCUAGUACAACUUUAGGCUCUCGACUUUGAUGAUGCAUGAGAGUUAUGGUAACAAAAAUAAUGUCAUUUUUUUCUUAAAAAAGCAAAAAAAAAAGAACUAAUGCCUUCAUUACACUACUGUUCACACUUUUGCUCUAUGGUAAAUGUAAAAAUCGGAGGAAAAGGUUUUAAGACGUAGGAGUAGAAUACAAUUUUUUUUUAAAGAUGAGGAGAAUUCUCUUGUAGAGAAGGGGGAAAUUGGGGAUCCUUUUUGCAAAGGUGAGAAUCAAACUCCUGUAUCCUGUCACAGAGAUAAAAGAAAGACCUUACAACCACUACGCUUUACGCCAAUCUUGAUUCUCGUUUGAGAGUAGAAUAUAAUGAAGAAACGAAGAGUUGUUGUAGGUAGAAGUAUGAUUUGCGCGUAAUCAAUUAUCAUGGUUGCCAUGAGCUAAGGGGACAGGACCGCAGGAGUGUUAUGCCAUUGUAAUAUGUACAGCUAUAUCAUUUCCGGAUGUGGUUGUUCCCUCUUCUUCAAGUAACAGUGACAACGAUUUGUUAACCUCUUGCCACCAUGUAUAUCUAUAUAUAUAUUUUUUAUACAGAA